AGAGCAUAUUUCUCAAUAAAUUCUUUUGACAUCCUCAGAAAUUCUUGCGCCGCCUUCCCCUUUUCUUCUCCUUUCAUCAUGGUAUCGGAGCAGGGGAGAUAGGACACCAGUCAAGGUCAAGCUCAAAUCAAGGGAGAGUUGUUAACUUCAUCUCAAGCCAUUAGUAAGUCUAUUGAUCUAGUUUUUCACUCGACAUAAUACUUCAUCCCUAUCAUCAUAUUUUUUUAAAUUAAAGUUUUAUUCAGCCAUUGCCAAAAAAAUGCCACACCAAGUCUUUAGCUUGUUUUGCAGAGGACUUUGUUUGGCAUGAAGGAAUUGGCAUGGGAAAGGAACCUGUACAUUUACAAAAUCACGACACUGCUCAAAAAAGAUUGGCAGGAACCAGGACUCUAAAGCUUCAUGAUCCUACAUCUAAAGCCAACGAGCAGAUCAUCACAAAAAGGUGUCAUUCGUAACACUCAUCACCAAGUGUGGAACGGAGACCUAACCAAAAACAUGUCCAUUCAGAAAUCCAGGCCAGAUGAAGGAGCAAAACAGAAAAAUCAUACAGAAAGCGGAGGAACAUCCAACCACCAAAAACAAAGGUCAAACCGAUGGCCAGAACCAAGGAAUCCAGAAGCCGAGAACGCCCACUGAACCUGGGUAAAGGAAGCUCCUUGUCACACAGUAAGAGCACCAGGGUCACGGAGGGCACUGUUAAUGCCGACCUCACUGUUCAUCCCGAUAAUCAUACUUGGGUUCCAUUGUGUUUGAUAGCUGAAAAUGUCUAAAUCACCUUAAUCUAGAUUACAAAGCACUACACCAGACUCACAAAUCUCACCUGUUGUGAUUUGAUCAAACACGUGAGAAACUUCGGGAAGUGACGUUUCAUAGGUGUGCGGCGUCUGUUGUGCCUCAAGUUUGGGGCGUGACAAAGGCUAGAUUUAAUCAAGGUUAAAUGAAUAACAAAGGCAGCAAGAGCUUGAAAGAAGAACGGUACGUAGAAAGGAGUUUCUAAGUGUGAAAGAAGAAAGCAGGACAGCAGGCGCUCUAUGCGCACCGUUUAACUAAAGGCUAGGAGAUUAGCUCUCACAAGUGAAACUCACUGUUUCACUAAUAAGCCUUUUAAAAGUUAGUUAGGACCGUUAGUUGUACAGAAUUAGUAAAGUUAAUUUUUCUCUCUCUUCAAUUAUUCAUGGCCCUAUGGGUAUAAGACCAUGUACAAAGCAUAUUUCUGAAUCAAUUCUUUUGACAUUCUCAACAAUU